CUCUUCUGCUGGGGCUUUAAUUUUCCUCUUUACAGAAAUUAAUCCCAUUACUUUUUAGUUUCAGGAGUCUUCUGGGGUGUGCAGCAGGAGAGCCUUCAGGGUCAAGCCCACCAUAUUGGUUCAUGACAGUAUUGAGGACUGAAUCAACGGAGAAGAUGAGCAAAGGAUUCAAAAACUAAGGAACAAAAAAGCGAAAGAUGUUUGGAUCAAGUCAGACCAUGGGGCGAAGCAGGAAGACAGUGAAAUAAUGUACAAAGCCUCUAACUUUCUCCCCAGACACUGGGCCUCUCACACAGGACAGCAAGUAUUUAGAAGAAUUCUCACCAGGUCCUGCUACAGAUGAUCAACAAGGUGGUUGUGACUAGAAAGAAGAACUGGAGGCUUCUUCUCUGUGGCCUGCCUCCUUGCUUUAUAGAAACCCCACCUGUUCCCUCACAG